CCAGAUCUGCAUUCUGAGAGUGUAGGGACCUAAAUGACACCCGAGCCCAAAGUUUAGUGAGCCAAAUAUGCAUUUUGAGAGUACGGGGACCUAAGUGACACAUCCGGACAAGUUUAGGGACCAACCAUGCAUUUUACUCUUUCCUAUUGUAUAGUUGUAGUUUCUAAAACAUAUAAUUACCAAGUUUACUUUUUUUAGUGUGUCUUGAGGCAAUAUCCGAGUCGAUGUGUAACUAACACCGGUAUUGAUAUGCUGAUAUCCUUGCUGGACGACAACUAACACCGGUAGGAAUACAAUAAUAUUCAUAUCAUCUCUAGUGAAAUACUGAUUUGCAUACUUCGUUAUCCAAGCCAACUCUAUUUUGCUUAAGCAAGAAUAAACAUUUAUCCAUCCUAGUAUCCAUGCCAAUAGGGUUAUCCACCCCUCAUCCAUGUCAACUUCAAAU
rnacentral:lncRNA from 1 species